rnacentral:rRNA from 1 species
CCUACGGGAGGCAGCAGUGGGGAAUAUUGCACAAUGGGCGCAAGCCUGAUGCAGCAACGCCGCGUGAGGGACGACGGCCUUCGGGUUGUAAACCUCUUUUAGUAGGGAAGAAGCGAAAGUGACGGUACCUGCAGAAAAAGCACCGGCUAACUACGUGCCAGCAGCCGCGGUAAUACGUAGGGUGCAAGCGUUAUCCGGAAUUAUUGGGCGUAAAGAGCUCGUAGGCGGUUUGUCACGUCUGCUGUGAAAACUGGAGGCUCAACCUCCAGCCUGCAGUGGGUACGGGCAGACUAGAGUGCGGUAGGGGAGAUUGGAAUUCCUGGUAUAGCGGUGGAAUGCGCAGAUAUCAGGAGGAACACCGAUGGCGAAGGCAGAUCUCUGGGCCGUAACUGACGCUGAGGAGCGAAAGCAUGGGGAGCGAACAGGAUUAGAUACCCUGGUAGUCCAUGCCGUAAACGUUGGGAACUAGAUGUAGGGACCAUUCCACGGUUUCUGUGUCGCAGCUAACGCAUUAAGUUCCCCGCCUGGGGAUACGGCCGCAAGGCUAAAACUCAAAUGAAUUGACGG